AAAUGAUAAAGCCAAUGGAAUAAAAUGUCCACAACAGGUGAUUCUGGAUAAAGGGUAUUUGUUGUGCUUCUCAAUAUUUUUACUAUUGCAAUUUUUCUGUAAUUUGAAAUGAGUUCCACACUAGAAGUUUAACAAAUAUACACCUUACAGUUUGAAAUUAUGUUUUAAAGAAAAGUUGGAAAGCGGAGAGACAAAAGGGGGAAAAAAACAGGUAAAAAAUUAAUUUCGGGAAAAUAAUUAUCCACACAUCUAGGUGGCUUCUUCCCAUCUUCUGAGACAGGUCAGCAUCAUAGAUGCCUACUGUACUCCAGUCCUCAGCCUCAUUCUUAUCUCUCCAGUCUUCCUGAUCAGGAAAUAGCUUCAAAGGUCAGCCAGGUUGGCUCAAAAAAUCCACAGACAAAAUGGGUGAAAAUGAGUAUCUUGGAAAUGGUGUGUUGCAUCCUCUUGGUCCUGAGCACUCUGCCUCCUCGUGCUGCUCCUGGAGCCACCACUGAAUCAGGAGACACGUAUAUAGUGACGCCACUAUCCAAAGACAUCUUCAAUGAUGCAGCAUCAUUAAUUCAAUGUUUUCUUUUUUUAAAAAAACUUUUGAGUCAACGUAACUUUUUCCCUGACUGUUUUGUUCCUUGAUGUUCUUGCCUUUACCUGGUGUCAAAACCCAUCUGUGAGCACAGUUAGAUAAGGCUUCUCAUUGUUCUCAGGGUGCAUAAAAUCCCUCUCCCUCCCUUCCUUCUCUCCCUCUCCCUGUGCCUUUCUCUGGCUCUCUCUUUUUCUGCCUACCUCAUCUCUACCCUUCCUCCUUCCAGAAGCUUUCAAAUACAAAUUGAGAAAGAAGAAAACUCCCCAAAUAAAACUAUACAAGCAAAUCC
rnacentral:lncRNA from 10 species